rnacentral:rRNA from 1 species
AUUGAACGCUGGCGGCAUGCUUUACACAUGCAAGUCGGACGAGUGGCGAACGGGUGAGUAACGCAUCGGAACGUACCUAGUAAUGGGGGAUAACUAUCCGAAAGGACAGCUAAUACCGCAUAGUAUUCGAUCGGCCGAAGUGGGAUUAGCUGGUGGGCGGGGUAAAGGCCGACCAAGGCGACGAUCAGUAGCGGGUCUGAGAGGAUGAUCCGCCACACUGGGACUGAGACACGGCCCAGACUCCUACGGGAGGCAGCAGUGGGGAAUAUUGCACAAUGGGCGCAAGCCUGAUCCAGCCAUGCCGCGUGUGUGAAGAAGGCCUUCGGGUUGUAAAGCACUUUAGUCAGGGAAGCGGUACCUGAAGAAUAAGCACCGGCUAACUACGUGCCAGCAGCCGCGGUAAUUC